rnacentral:rRNA from 1 species
GCCGCGUGAGUGAUGAAGGUUUUCGGAUCGUAAAACUCUGUUGUCAGGGAAGAACAAGUGCCGGAGUAACUGCCGGCACCUUGACGGUACCUGACCAGAAAGCCACGGCUAACUACGUGCCAGCAGCCGCGGUAAUACGUAGGUGGCAAGCGUUGUCCGGAAUUAUUGGGCGUAAAGCGCGCGCAGGCGGUCUCUUAAGUCUGAUGUGAAAGCCCACGGCUCAACCGUGGAGGGUCAUUGGAAACUGGGGGACUUGAGUGCAGAAGAGGAAAGUGGAAUUCCACGUGUAGCGGUGAAAUGCGUAGAGAUGUGGAGGAACACCAGUGGCGAAGGCGACUUUCUGGUCUGUAACUGACGCUGAGGCGCGAAAGCGUGGGGAGCAAACAGGAUUAGAUACCCUGGUAGUCCACGCCGUAAACGAUGAGUGCUAAGUGUUAGAGGGUUUCCGCCCUUUAGUGCUGCAGCAAACGCAUUAAGCACUCCGCCUGGGGAGUACGGCCGCAAGGCUGAAACUCA